rnacentral:rRNA from 1 species
AAACCCUUUAACGAGGACCUAUUAGAGGGCAAGUCUGGUGCCAGCAGCCGCGGUAAUUCCAGCUCUCAAGGUGUAUAUCGCCAUUGCUGCGGUUAAAAAGCUCGUAGUUGGAUCUGCGCCUUCGGACUCGGUCCUCCCAACGGGUGCGAACUGAGCUCCAAGGCUACUACUGCUGGUUUUCCCUUGAUGCUCUUCACUGGGUGUCUUGGGUGGCUAGCGAGUUUACUUUGAAAAAAAUUAGAGUGCUCAAAACAGGCUAUUGCCUGAAUACCGGUGCAUGGAAUAAUAGAAUAGGAUCUCGGUCCUAUUUUGUUGGUUUUCGGAACUGAGAUAAUGGUUAAGAGGGACAGACGGGGGCAUUCGUAUCGCUGCGUGAGAGGUGAAAUUCUUGGACCGCAGCGAGACGCCCAACUGCGAAAGCAUUUGCCAAGAAUGUCUUCGUUAAUCAAGAACGAAAGUCAGAGGUUCGAAGGCGAUCAGAUACCGCCCUAGUUCUGACCGUAAACGAUGCCAACUAGCGAUCCGCCGGUGGUAAUUACGCCCCGGCGGGGAGCUUCCCGGAAACGAAAGUCUUCCGGUUCCGGGGGAAGUAUGGUUGCAAAGCUGAAACUUAAAGGAAUUGACGGAAGGGCACCACCAGGAGUGGAGCUUGCGGCUUAAUUUGACCCAACACGGGAAAACUCACCCGGCCCGGACACCGUAAGGAUUGACAGAUUGAGAGCUCUUUCUUGAUUCGGUGGUUGGUGGUGCAUGGCCGUUCUUAGUUGGUGGAGCGAUUUGUCUGGUUUAUUCCGAUAACGAACGAGACUCUGGCCUACUAACUAGUGACAGAAUUAUUGCUGUUCUGGUUACUUCUUAGAGGGACAAGUGGUGUUCAGCCACACGAAAUUGAGCAAUAACAGGUCUGUGAUGCCCUUAGAUGUCCGGGGCUGCACGCGUGCUACACUGGAGGAAACAGCAUGCAAAACCAUUGCCGAGAGGCAUUGGUAAACCCAAGAAAAUCUUCCGUGAUCGGGAUUGGGAAUUGCAAUUAUUUCCCUUGAACGAGGAAUUCCCAGUAAGUGUGGGUCAUCAGCUCGCGCUGAUUACGUCCCUGCCCUUUGUACACACCGCCCGUCGCUGCCCGGGACUGAGCCGUUUCGAGAAAAGCGGGGACUGCUGCUGUUGGGGCUUUCGGGCCUUGGCUUCGGUGGAAACCGCUU